AUCUACAGCCAUACCACCCUGAAUGUGCCUGAUCUCAUCUGAUCUCGGAAGCUAAGCAGGGUUGAGCCUCGUUAGUACUUGAAUAGGAGAAAAAAACUGUAAACA
rnacentral:rRNA from 1 species